rnacentral:rRNA from 1 species
AUUGAACGCUGGCGGCAGGCCUAACACAUGCAAGUCGAGCGGAUGAAGGGAGCUUGCUCCUGGAUUCAGCGGCGGACGGGUGAGUAAUGCCUAGGAAUCUGCCUGGUAGUGGGGGAUAACGUCCGGAAACGGGCGCUAAUACCGCAUACGUCCUGAGGGAGAAAGUGGGGGAUCUUCGGACCUCACGCUAUCAGAUGAGCCUAGGUCGGAUUAGCUAGUUGGUGGGGUAAAGGCAUACCAAGGCGACGAUCCGUAACUGGUCUGAGAGGAUGAUCAGUCACACUGGAACUGAGACACGGUCCAGACUCCUACGGGAGGCAGCAGUGGGGAAUAUUGGACAAUGGGCGAAAGCCUGAUCCAGCCAUGCCGCGUGUGUGAAGAAGGUCUUCGGAUUGUAAAGCACUUUAAGUUGGGAAGAAGGGCAGUAAGUUAAUACCUUGCUGUUUUGACGUUACCAACAGAAUAAGCACCGGCUAACUUCGUG